rnacentral:rRNA from 1 species
UACGUAGGGGGCUAGCGUUGUCCGGAUUUAUUGGGCGUAAAGAGCGUGUAGGCGGCCAGGUAGGUCUGCUGUGAAAACUCGAGGCUCAACCUCGAGACGUCGGCGGAAACCAUCUGGCUAGAGUCCGGAAGAGGAGAGUGGAAUUCCUGGUGUAGCGGUGAAAUGCGCAGAUAUCAGGAAGAACACCGGUGGCGAAGGCGGGUCUCUGGGCCGAUAUCGACGCUGAGGAGCGAAAGCGUGGGGAGCGAACAGG